CAUGUACUCCCUCCGUUCUGAAUUACUUGUCUUGGAUUUGUCUAGAUACGGAUGUAUCUAGACUCAUUUUAGUGCUAGAUACUUCUGUAUCUAGACAAAUCUAAGACAAGUAAUUCAGAACGGAGGGAGUAUGUG
rnacentral:pre_miRNA from 1 species